AUGGAGGGCGACAGAAGUGCCAUCUUGAAGGAAGUUAGACUCAAAACGACAAAGAUGAGAGAAAGAGAAAACCUUCUAAGAAGGAUGAACGAGAGGUUUGAGAUGUUGGAGAUCUUGGGGAUGAUAAAGGACGAGCUAGGGGAAUGCUGCAAGAAGACAGAUGAGCUUUGUAAUGCAGCCAAGACCUUGGCAGAAUGCACUAAAGGAGAGCCAUCUGAGAGGGAAAAGGAGCUUCUUGAGCAAAAGUAUAAGGAGAUAAGUCAAAAGGUGGAGGACCAAAAAAAAGACUUCGAAGAAUGUGUAGGCAAAAUGAUAGAGAAAACAAGAGAAAGACAAAAGAUUUCAGCAGAAGAGUAUGCCAAGAGAGUGGCAGCUGAGAGGAAAAAGGAACUUCUUGAGCAAAAGGUUAAAGAGCUGCAAGAACAGCUGGAAGACCAAGAAAGGGUCUCUGAGGAAUUAGGAGUCAAAAAGACAGAGAAGCAAAGAGAAAGAGAAAAGACCUCAGCAGAAAUGCUGGCCCAAUGGGAGGAUGCUAUGUGGGAAAAGAAGCUUCUUGAGCAAAUGGUUAAAGAAUUGCAGCAAAAGUUGGAGGACCGAGAAAAAACCUUCGAGAGAUUUAGAGACAAACUCACAAAGGAAAUGAGAGAAAGAGACGACCUUCUGAGAAAGAUGAAUGAGAGGAUUCAGAUGCUGGAACGCUUACUGAAGUUACUAGAAACACUAGAGGAACAGGACAUGAAGAAAGAAGAGCAGGCCAAAAGAGAGGCAGCUGAAAGGGAAAACGAGCCUCUUGAACAAAAGGUUAAAGAACUGCAGCAAAAAUCGGAGAACCAAGAAAAAGUCUUCGAAGUAUUAAGAGACAAAAUGACAGAGGAGUUGAAUGAAAGAGAGAAAGCCUCAGCAGAAGAGCAGAUCAGAAGAGAGGCUGUUGAGAGGGAAAAUGAGUCUCUUGAAAAACAGGUUAAAGAAUUGCAGCAAAAUUUGGAGGACCAAGGAAGAGUCUUCCAGAGAUUAAGAACUGAAAUGACAGAGGAGAUGAGAGAAAGUGAAAACGUCUCAGCAGAAGAGCAGAUCAGAGGAGAGGCCACUGAGAGGGAAAAGGAGUCUCUUGAAAAACAGGUUAAAGAAUUGCAGCAAAAUUUGGAGGACCAAGGAAGAGUCUUCCAGAGAUUAAGAACUGAAAUGACAGAGGAGAUGAGAGAAAGUGAAAACGUCUCAGCAGAAGAGCAGAUCAGAGGAGAGGCCACUGAGAGGGAAAAGGAGUCUCUUGAAAAACAGGUUAAAGAAUUGCAGCAAAAUUUGGAGGACCAAGGAAGAGUCUUCCAGAGAUUAAGAACUGAAAUGACAGAGGAGAUGAGAGAAAAUGAAAAGGCCUCAGCAGAAGAGCAGGCCAAAAGAGAGGCUGCUGAGAGGGAAAAGCUUUUAGAGCAAAAGCUUAAAGAAUUGCAACAAAAGUUUGAGGACCAAGAAAGAGCCUUCAAGGUAUUUAGAGUCCAAAUGACAGAAGAGGUGAGAGAAAGAGACAAUUUUCUGAGAAAGAUGAAUGAGAGGAUUGAGAUGCUGGAGGCUGCAGUGAACAAUGAUAAUGACAAGGAUAAUGAGGAAAACACUGAAAAGUACUGAACUUCAUAGACACAGGAAGAUAAUGACAAAGAAAAUACUUCACAGCCUUUUGUUUUAAUCUCUGUUUGGGAGAAUAUAAAACAUGUGUGGUCACUAAUUACUCAGAUUUUUUGUUUGUUUCUUUUAAAUUCUGGUAAUAUUAAAAGUUUUCACAAGUGCUUUUUUGAUCUGGAUUAUUUCUAUCUAUGUAUGUACUUUUUCUUUUAUCAUUAAAGUUUUAAUGUAAAAAGUAGAAACAUCAUCUACUAUAGAACAUCAAUUCCUGGCCCACAAAGGAAAGAAUUAGUGUGGCUGGAUAAUUAAUUUAAGUGGAAAUGGAAGCAACUGAGUAGAAGACAAAGAGGUCAAGUUUGUAAUAUCUUGAAAAAAAGAAAAAUUUUAUUAAGUAAUGCUUCUGAAAGUCACAUAUGAAUAAUUAUACAAAUGAAUAUGUAUACUGG
ensembl:lncRNA